UACGUAGGGGGCUAGCGUUGUCCGGAUUUAUUGGGCGUAAAGAGCGUGUAGGCGGUCCGGUAAGUCAGCUGUGAAAGUCAAGGGCUCAACCCUUGAAAGCCGGUUGAUACUGUCGGGCUAGAGUCCGGAAGAGGCGAGUGGAAUUCCCGGUGUAGCGGUGAAAUGCGCAGAUAUCGGGAGGAACACCAAUGGCGAAGGCGGGUCUCUGGACAGUUCCUGACACUGAGACACGAAGGCCAGGGGAGCAAACGGG
rnacentral:rRNA from 1 species